GUAGAUCCAAACAGAUUUUUGAAGACUCGUGUACAGGGGAUUCUAAACCAUGGUUGCAGUACUUUUAAAUGCAAUGUCAACAUAAAUGAAUACAGCCAUGAUUCCAAUCUUGUGAUAAACACUCUACUGCGUGUCAUUCAUGACUCGCAAUCAAAGCUUGGAACUUUACCAGAGGUGUUGUUUCUUCAGGCUGAUAACUGUGGAAGAGAGAACAAGAACAAAUACAUGAUGUCUUUUUGUGCAUUACUUGUACGUCUACAUGUAUUUAGUGAGAUAUUCCGUUUGUUACAUCCAUGUGUUUGAGACUGAGACUGUCCCUUUGAACAGAGCAUUCCGUGUGCAGUGCAUGAAAGCCAUAGGCAGAAAGACCCAGAGUGUCGGAGAGUGAGUCCGAGGCUGACAAGGCGGAGGCCUCUCAGCUAUCGGUCCGCAGUUUAGCCCUGCCAGGAUGAGUAUUUCAGCCGCUUCACGGGAGGAUGACCUGGACACAACAUUAAUACAGAUAUCCGCUGACACAACCGCUGACGCAACCAUUAAUUAUAGGGAAUUUUCAAACACAGACAAGUAUGCGCCAAAUGGUACUAUAAUA